GCCACAUACUGGUCUCCCUAACCAAGAGGGAGAACUCUCACCCAGAGAGUCAAUGUGAUACUGAUCCAUAAACUUCUACCCCUUAGGCAGUGUUAGAGGAUCUUUCUCAUCUUAGUUCCUACUUCUCAGCAUUGAGGGGACACCUGGGCCACAGCCUGUCCAGUUUUGGGAUUCAGCCUUGGCCUACACUCACUUCACCUACACAGAAACCCUUAACCAUGCUCAUGGGCUUUGUCCAAACUCAAGAGACAAGUUGUCUAGGACCAAAGGCCUCAACCUCCUGUCAUGGUUUUCUCCUGCCCUUG
rnacentral:lncRNA from 1 species